CGCCUUAUGCCUGAAAGGGCAACGACGUAAGUUGGAGCGAGAAGUCAGCAGAGGCCGUAGUAGUUGCGCUGCAGCGAAGGGC
rfam:Pseudomonas pseudoalcaligenes KF707 = NBRC 110670 strain KF707 ctg1633, whole genome shotgun sequence.